UACGAAGGUCCCGAGCGUUGUUCGGAAUCACUGGGCGUAAAGGGAGCGUAGGCGGUGCGGUAAGUCAGAUGUGAAAUCCCGGGGCUCAACCCCGGAACUGCAUCCGAUACUGCCGUGCUAGAGUGAUGGAGAGGUAGCUGGAAUUCACGGUGUAGCAGUGAAAUGCGUGGAUAUCGUGAGGAACACUCGUGGCGAAAGCGAGCUACUGGACAUUUACUGACGCUGAGGCUCGAAGGCCAGGGUAGCGAAA
rnacentral:rRNA from 1 species